rnacentral:rRNA from 1 species
UAGAGUUUGAUCCUGGCUCAGGAUGAACGCUGGCGGUCUGCUUAACACAUGCAAGUCGAACGCAACCUUCGGGUUGAGUGGCGGACGGGUGAGUAACGCGUGAGAAUCUGCCUUGGGGCCGGGGACAACCACUGGAAACGGUGGCUAAUACCGGAUAAGCCUUUGGGUAAAAAAUUUAUUGCCCCAAGAGGAGCUCGCGUCUGAUUAGCUAGUUGGUGAGGUAAAAGCUCACCAAGGCAGCGAUCAGUAGCUGGUCUGAGAGGACGAUCAGCCACACUGGGACUGAGACACGGCCCAGACUCCUACGGGAGGCAGCAGUGGGGAAUUUUCCGCAAUGGGCGAAAGCCUGACGGAGCAAGACCGCGUGAGGGAGGAAGGCUCUUGGGUUGUAAACCUCUUUUCUCAGGGAAGAAGCUCUGACGGUACCUGAGGAAUCAGCCUCGGCUAACUCCGUGCCAGCAGCCGCGGUAAUACGGAGGAGGCAAGCGUUAUCCGGAAUUAUUGGGCGUAAAGCGUCCGCAGGUGGCGAUUCAAGUCUGCUGUCAAAGCACGGGGCUUAACUCCGUUAAGGCAGUGGAAACUGAAUAGCUAGAGUGCCGUAGGGGUAGAGGGAAUUCCCGGUGUAGCGGUGAAAUGCGUAGAGAUCGGGAAGAACAUCGGUGGCGAAAGCGCUCUACUGGACGGCAACUGACACUCAGGGACGAAAGCUAGGGGAGCGAAUGGGAUUAGAUACCCCAGUAGUCCUAGCUGUAAACGAUGGAUACUAGGUGUAGCUUGUAUCGACCCGAGCUGUGCCGAAGCUAACGCGUUAAGUAUCCCGCCUGGGGAGUACGCACGCAAGUGUGAAACUC